CCUACGGGAGGCAGCAGUGGGGAAUUUUGGACAAUGGGGGCAACCCUGAUCCAGCAAUGCCGCGUGUGUGAAGAAGGCCUUCGGGUUGUAAAGCACUUUUGUCCGGAAAGAAAUGGCUCUGGUUAAUACCCGGGGUCGAUGACGGUACCGGAAGAAUAAGCACCGGCUAACUACGUGCCAGCAGCCGCGGUAAUACGUAGGGUGCGAGCGUUAAUCGGAAUUACUGGGCGUAAAGCGUGCGCAGGCGGUUUUGUAAGACAGGCGUGAAAUCCCCGAGCUCAACUUGGGAAUGGCGCUUGUGACUGCAAGGCUAGAGUAUGUCAGAGGGGGGUAGAAUUCCACGUGUAGCAGUGAAAUGCGUAGAGAUGUGGAGGAAUACCGAUGGCGAAGGCAGUCCCCUGGGACGUCACUGACGCUCAUGCACGAAAGCGUGGGGAGCAAACAGGAUUAGAUACCCUGGUAGUCCACGCCCUAAACGACGUCAACUAGUUGUUGGGGAUUCAUUUCUUCAGUAACGUAGCUAACGCGUGAAGUUGACCGCCUGGGGAGUACGGUCGCAAGAUUAAAACUCAAAGGAAUUGACGG
rnacentral:rRNA from 1 species